rnacentral:antisense_RNA from 1 species
CUCUAUGGUAGCGUGUAGCGGGCAAGGUUACGCCCUUGACUGUGUUCCGUGUAUCACAGCUUUCCACCCCGUUACACGCUAUCGCCCAA